AGUGCUUAUGGACAGAGAGAGAAGGCUGGACCAUGAGUUCUCCUCUGUGUACUUUGGUGUGAGUUCUGGCAGUAUAGCAGCAAGUAUGGCACUGGACAAGCGUCAAGGAAGGGACACAGGAAUUCUCACCUCUGUUGUUCCAUGGCAACAGAGGGGCAGUGCGACACAACGAUGUCUGACAUGGAAGUGCGUACGAAGUAAAGUGCCCUCAGUCUUAUUUGCUGGCCAUUGCGAUUCCUUCAGUGACUCUUUUCCUAGAACCCUUGUCAGUAGCCCUGUCCCUAUAGACUCUUUCCAAUGACCCAAUGCUGUUUACACAUUCCUGCAUGUUGGUUGGUGUUUUCUUUUUGCUGCUGUGUGAUGUCUUUGGCUGACAUUCAGCUUGUGAUGACUCCGGAUCCUGCAAAGCUGCUAAGCAGUUAGUCAUUUCCCAUUCUGUAUUCAUGCAGCUGAAACGAAGAAAUGAAUGUAGAACUUUGCAUCCAAAUUUUGUCAGACCAUUCCUGUUUCUCAGAGCUCAUUCAGGCUCCAACUCCUGUCAUCCAAAGUGCUUCCAGCUCCUCCUGGCCUGGAGUCAGCUGUAAAUUUACAGAGUACACUCUAUUCCAUCAUCCAAGUUAAUAAUGUAAAUAUUGAAUAGCGUCAGUCACCAGACAGACUCUUGGGAAACCCCUCUCAGUGCACCCUUUUAAUGUGCUGGUGAACCAUUGAUCACUAACUUCUUAGCACAGCAUUCUGGCCAGUUUUGCAUCCACCCUAUGGCUGCUCUUUUGUUACUGUUCUGUGGUUGGGGCUGUUCCUGUAAGCACCUGCUCUUCUGUCAAAAAAGUGUUUGUGUUUUUCCCCCCCCCCGGUAUUUUCCUGCUGGUAACCCUGGGGAACAGUGCCCAGACAGGCGGUGAGCGCACAGCAUCUGAGGAGUUCCUCUGAGCCCUCAGACAGCAAUUAGCACAGGAUGAAAAGUUGGGGUACCCACAGGCAAUUUCUCUUUUCAUUCUGUCAUUUCUCUUCUAUUCAGUGUUCUGAAGAAAUGCCCUCUGUGCUUAUGCAUUUUUUUCUUAUAAUGCUCUCGUGUCCCUCAGAGGAAAGAGAAUAUUUAUUUGAUGGUGAGCUAAUGUUAAACACUGUGGUUUUUUUUUUACCCCCCAAUACUAGGGGACUAUUUCCCUAAUAUUGACAUUUUAAUACUAUAUAUAAUAUCAAGAAAGAAUGUAAAUAAAACAGGUUUUAUAGG
rnacentral:lncRNA from 1 species